CGUUUAUGUGCCUAUCGGUGCAAGCUUUUCAGUGACUGUGAUAAUGAAAUCGCGUUGCCAGACGAUUGAAGUUUUAAGGAGGGUAAAUUUGAAGAGAAGAGACUUUUAUUUCAAAGAUGGAAUCUCUAACUUUUAGUCUUAAAGAUGUGCAAAAAGCAAAAUGCAAUUUAGAGAGUCGCCUCAAUGAAAAAAGACGGAUGAGAAAGAAUAUUGAAAAUGUUUUAGAGACAGUGAAUUCAAAGCUAACACAGAUUACAAACAUCCACACUAAAAUGACAG